GACGAACGCUGGCGGCAUGCCUAAUACAUGCAAGUCGAGCGGAAUGACGAGAGCUUGCUCUCUGAUUUUAGCGGCGGACGGGUGAGUAACACGUGGGCAACCUGCCCUACAGAUGGGGAUAACUCCGGGAAACCGGGGCUAAUACCGAAUAAUCAGUUUGUCCGCAUGGACAAACUCUGAAAGACGGUUUCGGCUGUCACUGUAGGAUGGGCCCGCGGCGCAUUAGCUAGUUGGUGGGGUAAUGGCCUACCAAGACGAUGAUACGUAGCCGACCUGAGAGGGUGAUCGGCCACAUUGGGACUGAGACACGGCCCAA
rnacentral:rRNA from 1 species